GGGGAUGCCUAGGUUUCGACGUGGUCGAAUAAUCUUUAGUAGCAAGUCGUUUUCUGACACGUAAAUCAGUAUUUAAAUAUAAACGCAAACAAUAAUAGCGAAGCAAACUUCGCACUAGCUGCCUAAGAAACUGGUGGCAAUGAAUUGUAGGUUUGUCGCAAACUUACAAUUUGUUUCAUAAUUAUAGCGACAACUCUCAUACCAAAGCUUUGAGAUAUGAGCAGUAAGAUGAAGCUAGCAUAAAAACUAUUUGUAAGUUUAAGAGUCUUUAUGCGAAAUCUUUAAACUUACUAAGCUUGUAGAAGCUAUUGAGGAGGCUUCCGCGGACAUGGGUUCGAUUCCCAUCAUCUCCACCA
rnacentral:tmRNA from 2 species